AAUGUUAUUCGAAAGUUGAAAUUUCGUGGUCUCUACCUUUUGUGAAAAGUUCUUGUAUAGGUGCAUGCUUUCACUACAACAGAAUUAGGUUAUAGGGACACAUGUUUGGGACACUUUUGAGUAAGUGUCCCAAUUAUGCUAAAACUUAAAAAAAACAUCUACUAAUGCCUAAAUAAAAAACUCAAUCUAACCAAAAAUAAAAGAUUACUCUACUCAAUCCACCACACCCAGCCCAUUUGGCCCGAUUACAAACAGAAAAGAAAAAAAAAAGAAAAAUCUAUUACCAUCUUUUCUUCUCUUUUCACUCAAUCCACUGAAAUUCUAGACGAAGAGCCUUUCCUGUCGUUCUCCUCCGCCAGCGCAGCCAAAGAGAUAGAGUUUCGGCGGUUGUUAAAUGCUUAAAUAAGUGUUGGUAAAUUAGCAGCACUCUUUUAGGUUAUAGCGACACUCUUUAACUGUCACUAUAUACCUAGCGACCCCACAUAUAACAACAUUUUUUAAAAGUGUCGGUAAUUUUAGCUAACAGCACUUUUUUGACAUGUACCUACAUUUAAAAGUGUCGCUAUAGAUCGUUUUUGUUGUAGUGUUUGUGAUCCAAUGUGUGCAUGU
rnacentral:lncRNA from 1 species